rnacentral:rRNA from 1 species
CGGAGGGUGCGAGCGUUGUCCGGAAUCAUUGGGCGUAAAGGGCGCGUAGGUGGCCUGCUAAGCGUGCGGUGAAAGCUCGGGGCUCAACCCCGAGUCGGCCGUGCGAACUGGUGGGCUUGAGCACUGUAGAGGCAGGCGGAAUUCCGGGUGUAGCGGUGGAAUGCGUAGAGAUCCGGAAGAACACCGGUGGCGAAGGCGGCCUGCUGGGCAGUAGCUGACACUGAGGCGCGACAGCGUGGGGAGCAAACAGGAUUAGAUACCCUGGUAGUCCACGCCGUAAACGAUGGGCACUAGGCGCUUGGGGGAGCGACCCCCCGAGGGCCGGCGCUAACGCAUUAAGUGCCCCGCCUGGGGAGUACGGCCGCAAGGCUG